rnacentral:rRNA from 1 species
ACACGCAUGACACACUGCAUAUCAAUAAGCGGAGGAAAAGAAACUAACAAGGAUUCCCCUAGUAACGGCGAGUGAAGCGGGAAGAGCUCAAAUUUGAAAUCUUAAAGGGUUUACCUUGACGAAUUGUAGUUUAAAGAAGUGUUUUCUGUUGGAGUUUCGGUAAAAGUUCUUUGGAAUAGGACAUCAUAGGAGGGUGAGAAUCCCGUAUUUGACCAUUACUUUCCAGCUGUGUGAUACACUUUCAAAGAGUCGGAUUGUUUGGGAAUGCAGUCCAAAAUGGGUGGUAAAUUUCAUCUAAAGCUAAAUAUUGGCGAGAGACCGAUAGCGAACAAGUACCGUGAGGGAAAGAUGAAAAGAACUUUGAAAAGAGAGUUAAACAGUACGUGAAAUUGUCAAAAGGGAAGCGUUUGACACCAGUGUUGUUUUUCCGAAAAUCAAUUACGAAUGUUUUAGUUUUUGAGAAGUUAUGACUUCAUCGGCUUGCUUCUUUCUUUACUGAAACUUUCUUAAUGCACUUUUCGGUUAACAAGUCAACAUCAAUUUCUUUUGUUGUAAAAGGGUAUGAGGAAGGUGGCUUUCUUUUCGGAGAAAGUGUUUAUAGCCUUGUACCUCUGCAAUCGGAGAGAUUGAGGUCUGCAGCGUAGAUCCUUCGGGGUUAGAUACAUUUGUGCUAAGUUAUAGCUUUUCAUAGACAACUUGUUGACUAUGUUUAGUCUUGUAGCUUACUCGCUUAUGCUAUUUUACCUACGCUUAGGAUGUUGAAGACUCUACAGAGAUA